rnacentral:tRNA from 1 species
GGAAGGGUGUCCGAGUGGUUUAAGGAGCCGGUCUCGAAAACCGGUGUGCGGGUAACCGUACCGUGGGUUCGAAUCCCACCCCUUCCGCCA